UACGUAGGGGGCAAGCGUUGUCCGGAAUCAUUGGGCGUAAAGAGCGCGUAGGCGGCCCUGUAAGUCCGCUGUGAAAGUCAAGGGCUCAACCCUUGGAUGCCGGUGGAUACUGCAGGGCUAGAGUCCGGAAGAGGCGAGUGGAAUUCCUGGUGUAGAGGUGAAAUUCGUAGAUAUCGGGAAGAACACCUAUGGCGAAGGCAGCACUCUGGGACGGUACUGACGCUGAGACGCGAAAGCGUGGGGAGCGAACAGG
rnacentral:rRNA from 1 species